AAAUUGGAGAAUAUAUUUACAAACCAUAUAUCUGAUAAGUUACUUUUAUCAAGAAAAUGUAAAGAAAAUUUAACAUUCAAGAAGAAAACAACACAAUGAAGAAGUGGGUCGAAUUAUUACUUUAGGUUUGAAAGUUAUGGAAAAAUGCUGUUGUGGCCAAUGAAAUAUAAUCAAUGGAGCAAUUUAAAGACACUACUGAAUGAACUUGUUUGGAUAGUUCAUGAGGAUAGUUCAUGAGGUUCUGACACCUUCAUAUUUCAUUACCCUUGAUCUCGAUAAACUAUUAUUAAAUUUGAAAUUUUUUCUACAUCUUAUACUAGAGUUGAACUGGAAUUUUUUUUUUUUUUACCAAAUGAGUCAGGAAAUGGGUGUAUAAUUUGCCAAAAGACACACAUUGAGCAUAUUUUCCAUUACUGCAAAAAUGUUCUGGGGCGAAAGUUCUGAUUACUUUGAAAAGUUCUAUAGAGAUGUAGUUCUGAACAAGAAACUUAUGACAAACUACAAAAAUCAAAGUUUGACCUUCUUGGAGAUGCCAGUGGUCCCUGUGGUGAGUUGCUGUCUGAGAUACUUGAAAUGUCCUUUGUGUAUAGUCUCUGCUUCUCUCUUGGCUAUACAUUGAAAAAAUAUAGGUGAGGACUUUGAUUCCUUCCUUCCUAUAUAUCCGUUGUUAUAUCUGAAUUAAGUGGUAGAAUGAAAUUUAUGGAGAAGGUAAAAAUAUGAUAUAUGUGCUUUAUUUUGACUUUUGGUUCCAAACGUUUUAUGAAAAGAAAUGAGAUCAGUUUUACAGAGAAAUAUUAGGU
rnacentral:lncRNA from 10 species